AGUGAACGCUGGCGGUAGGCCUAACACAUGCAAGUCGAACGGCAGCACAGUAAGAGCUUGCUCUUACGGGUGGCGAGUGGCGGACGGGUGAGGAAUACAUCGGAAUCUACUUUUUCGUGGGGGAUAACGUAGGGAAACUUACGCUAAUACCGCAUACGACCUACGGGUGAAAGCAGGGGAUCUUCGGACCUUGCGCGAUUGAAUGAGCCGAUGUCGGAUUAGCUAGUUGGCGGGGUAAAGGCCCACCAAGGCGACGAUCCGUAGCUGGUCUGAGAGGAUGAUCCGCCACACUGGACCUGAGCCACGGUCCAGACUCCUACGGGAGGCAGCAGUGGGGAAUAUUGGCCAAUGGGCGCAAGCCUGAUCCAGCCAUCCCGCGUGGGUGAAGAAGGCCUUCGGGUUGUAAAGCCCUUUUGUUGGGAAAGAAAAGCAGCAGGUUAAUACCCCGCUGUUCUGACGGUACCAAAAGAAUAAGCACCGGCUAACUUCGU
rnacentral:rRNA from 1 species